UACGGGGGGGGCUAGCGUUGUUCGGAAUUACUGGGCGUAAAGGGCGCGUAGGCGGUCUGCUAAGUUGGAUGUGAAAACUCUGGGCUUAACCCAGAGCCUGCAUUCAAUACUGACAGGCUAGAGUUCUGGAGGGGAUAGCGGAAUUCCUGGUGUAGCGGUGAAAUGCGUAGAUAUCGGGAGGAACACCAGUGGCGAAGGCGGUUGCCUGGGGGCUGUGCUGACGCUGGAUGCGCGAAAGCGUGGGGGAGCGAUCCGG
rnacentral:rRNA from 1 species